rnacentral:rRNA from 1 species
CGAACUGUCCUAACGUUGUUCGGAAUCACUGGGCUUAAAGGGCGCGUAGGCGGUCCGACAAGUCAGGGGUGAAAUCCUGCAGCUUAACUGCAGAAAGUGGCCUUUGAUACUGUCGGUCUCGAGGGAGAUAGGGGUGUGCGGAACUUCCAGUGGAGCGGUGAAAUGCGUUGAUAUUGGAAGGAACGCCGGAGGCGAAAGCGGCGCACUGGAUCUCUUCUGACGCUGAGGCGCGAAAGCUAGGGGAGCAAACGGGAUUAGAUACCCCGGUAGUCCUAGCCCUAAACGAUGAGUACUAGGAUUGUAGACUUUCAUGGGUUUACAGUCGAAGCAAAAGUGUUAAGUACUCCGGCCUGGGGAGUAUGGUACGCAAGGCUG